UAUUUCAAUAUUUAGAAUAGUAUACGCGUUGUUUUUAUUUCCCAACUCUAGCUUUAAAAGAUCUUUUCUUGAAUUAUCGAUUCUCACAAAUUUUGCGGAUUUGUUUACCCGAAAGUAAAUGAAAUCACUCACAGGUGAUUAGGUCAAGUUUUAAAGAUUCGUCGGUGAUGCAAGGGGCCGAACUUUAGAGGCCAUUUUAUAUAGGGACUGUGUCCAUCUUUACACCGAGGCUUCUCCAACCGGGGAAGUGGAUAGUCGAGUGGUUAGAGCGCUGGCGCUCUGGUUCAAUGCCCGAAAAGCACGAUAAGCUCGUGGGAUUGGGUACCUGACUCCAUAGAGGUUUGGGUAAGGUAAGGCAGCGAUCGAGCAUGCAUAGGUGGCCCCGAGAAAAGUGGUCUUUAACACCUCACCCUUCAGCGACCUGAAAAGGUUAGUGGAUGACCUUUAUCGUUACCUUCUCCAACCGCUAGGUCAUAUGAAGGUGUGUUCCCGCUACGUCACACAACCGCUUAGUGUAUGCAGAUAAAACAAGGUGGCUUGUCUGUAAAUUUACCUGAGGACUGGUUCACAAAGCACCCCGAAGCCAUGCAGGUGAUCGUGUUGAAAACUCAGCGUAAAAGAUGGGGAGAAGCUCCUAUAGUGCAAUAAAUUAUGCAAAUCUGCAAGAAGCUUGUGACCUGAUAUAAUGUUCAAAUUCCCGUUAUAAAUGUCCCGAAAAGUCACUUUUCAGAAAUCAUAAAGAACCAUUAAAGGGGAGAUGAGAAAACCAGAGUACCCGACGGCCAGAGAGGAAUUCUAAGUCUGGCAUCUUUUAACUGCAGUGGUGACAAAGGAACAUACGGCGAUACGAUAUGCUGAAUACACCCUUCUCGUCUGGUUACCGAAAGUAAACAGAGUUGGGCCUCGUUAGUACUUGGAUGGGUGACUGUCUGUAAACACCUGUUGUAUUGCAUUCUUAUUUUAUUUAGGGGUAUACAGGCACAAGCGUAUUUGUGCUUCUAACAACUAGUGAUGUGUUUUCAUUUACAGAUAAUGUUCUUGCGUGAGUCAAAGGAUAAUUUCCGUUAUAGGUGUGCACAUUAUACAGACAUUAACGACUAAUUGAUUGUUUGUUUGAAAUAAUCAUUUUGCAUAUUAUUAGCUUCAGUUGUUAUUUAUGGUUUGUACUUUGUGCUUUUGCUAAGGCGAGGAAAUAUAGCCUUGGGGUUGGAUUAACCGGGGAAUGUUGCGGAGUUUUGGAUGAGUUGUUGUAGUCCACAUGAGACAGGCACUGAGACAGCUGCAAUGCGAAACCAGAAACCGCGACCAACCGAGCGAAGAGUAUCGAGUCCACGUACCAGGUCAUGGGAUGAAUAAAGGCUUAAUUAACCCAUUAAAUGUCGCGUUAGAUUUGAGUUUAUAUCAUUUGAAAAUAUGUUAGACAUUACCAUCCACGUUAACUGAAUAAAAUAAAUUUUUAAAAGUUUUUGAACACCGUUUUCUUUAAAAAUGUACUGAAAAAGGUACAAUAAUUUUUUCGUAG